AUGAAAGCUCACUUUUGGAACGUUCGAGGUUUUGGUGCUAGGGGGCGCCGAGACCAGAUUCAUGACUUGGUUUGUGGAGAGCAUAUUGACAUUUUAGGGUUGGUUGAAAUGUUUAAGGAAUCCUUUUCCUCUCCUGAACUGUCUGCGGUGGCUGGCAUGGACAGGUUCGAUUGGCACUUUCUCCCUGCUUCGGGCCAUUCUGGGGGCAUCUUGAUAGGGUCUAAACGGGACGUGUUUGAUUUCAUUACCUUUGAUCAUGGCAUCUUUUGGGCUAGCUGCGUGGUUCAUCAUCGCCAGCUUAACAAAUUAUGGGAAUUUUUGGUGGUUUAUGGCCCCGCGGACCACUCUCUUGCCCCUUUGUUUUUGGAUGAACUUUCGAUUAAGAUUGAAUCCUGUAAUAUUCCUCUUCUAAUUGGUGGUGAUUUCAAUUUGUUACGCUCCCCGGCGGAUAAAAAUAGCCCUAAUUUUUCUUGGCCUCUUGCCAAUGCUUUUAAUGAGUUCAUUAGUAAUUGCGCGCUCCGUGAGCUCCCUAGGGUGGGGGCGCGGUUCACCUGGUCUAACCAUCAGUCCUCUCCUGUUCGGUCGGUGUUGGAUCGGGUCUUUGUCUGUGAUAGGUGGGAUUCGUUUUUCCCCCGUGCGGUGCUGAAAGCCAGGCCUGCGGUUGGCUCCGAUCAUGCCCCCUCGUCGUGGAUGCGGGCAUCCUUUCCCUUGUGUCGCCUUCCCGCUUCCAAUUUGAUGCCUCUUGGCUUGUAG
rnacentral:rRNA from 1 species